GUUUGUCCGUCACAAAGCCGUGAAGCUUCCGUUUGUUGUAAAAUUUAAAUGCAGAAGAAACGGAAUUGAGUUUAGGGUUGGGUAAAUACUGAUCCAAUCCGGGUAGCCCUUCUCGGAACCCGAUUGUUGCUGAUGAACAACGGGGUGUCUGGAUAAAUGGUGGGAGGCCUCCACACCCAGGACCACCAUUUGGCCAUGAAGUUAUGCAGAUCUGAUCCUGGUGACUAAGCUAUUCAUCAAGUAGUGUCCUGCAUAGUUUGGUGUUAACACAAUUUCCACCGGUUUUUUUGGGCCACUAGUUGAGAGGCCACCAGCAAAUAAUAUGAGUUUUCAACGUCCUGCUCCUAAUAAUGUACCCUCUGGAGCUCCAAUAUCAGUGCUACUCAGAUCUUGCCGUGUAGGCCUGAUAUUUCUGCUGUUAAUUGUUAGAGACCAGCUUAAUGUUCACUUUGCCCUGAUGAAAUAUUCUUCUUCGAUUGCUUUAAUUUGGGUCCGAGAUUGUAUUAAAGCUUCAGUCUUUGCAGUGAGAUGAUCGUCAAGCUUCCAUCAUGUUUUCAAUGUUGUGGAGUUCUUCAUCAUCGAGAUUAUCCCAAUAAUCAGCAUCACUUUCUCUCACUUGUUGGCUCUCCUGCUCUUCUUUAUACAAUAAAUCAUACACUUCUUUAGUGGUUGUGCUCAUAUCAACAGUGUACAGCUCUCCUGGUCGUGGUACUCCAUCCAGGUGUUCUCUGGUGUAGAUAUUUAAAGCAUUGGCUUGGUAGAUUAAUUGCAGAUUUGUAUCAUCAAAGAAAUCAUCUACUACAAGCUGGGCUGCACGAAAUUUGUGAAUAUCCUCCACUGUUGGUGCCACAUCAAUUGUUGGGUGAGAAAAUGUAUCAUGACAAAUGACUCCUAUACCAGGUUGAGGAUGAGAUAUAAGAUUAAAGAGAAAAUUCUGGAUAGCUACUUGAAGGGAAAGAUGCUUAUCAUGCUGUAACUUGAAGAUUUUAUCUUUACAAUCAUGAGUGUAUUACCACUUUGAGGUGGCACACCACUUUCUGCUCUUUGAGUACUAGAAGAUGAAGGCCUGAAAAAGUCCAUACCUGUCAAAGAAGAAGCCGAGAUAAGAUAUCUGCAAGUGUAUUAUCAGCUCCUUUUAUAUGCUCAAAUUGUGGCCUAAAUCCAUUUCCUGUAAUACAAUCUAUAAAAUUGACCCAUCUUCUGGCUGCUUGUUUAUUAGUAGUGAUUUUAUUAUAAUGAGAAACAA